UACGUAGGGUGCAAGCGUUGUCCGGAAUUAUUGGGCGUAAAGAGCCCGUAGGCGGUUUGUUGCGUCGGCUGUGAAAUCCCGAGGCUCAACCUCGGGUCUGCAGUCGAUACGAGUAAACUAGAGUGUUGCAGGGGAGACUGGAAUUCCUGGUGUAGCGGUGAAAUGCGCAGAUAUCAGGAGGAACACCGGUGGCGAAGGCGGGUCUCUGGGCAACAACUGACGCUGAGGAGCGAAAGCGUGGGGAGCGAACAGG
rnacentral:rRNA from 1 species